UACGUAGGGUGCGAGCGUUAAUCGGAAUUACUGGGCGUAAAGCGUGCGCAGGCGGUUCGUUAAGUCAGCUGUGAAAGCCCCGGGCUCAACCUGGGAAUUGCGGUUGAAACUGGCGGACUAGAAUCUGGCAGAGGGGGGUGGAAUUCCACGUGUAGCAGUGAAAUGCGUAGAGAUGUGGAGGAACACCGAUGGCGAAGGCAGCCCCCUGGGUCAAAACUGACGCUCAUGCACGAAAGCGUGGGGAGCAAACAGG
rnacentral:rRNA from 1 species